AAGACUAUACUUUCAGGGAUCAUUUCUAAAUCAGAGACGUUUCUCUGAUUGUGUAAAGUACCGGAAACCACGAGGAGGAGGUGCAGUGCUUUCUCCUGAGCAUGAAGCUGGCUCUCAGUGUUGCUUUACUGCAACUGCCAUUUGCCACUGAUGAUCGUUCUUAUUCUCUUUUAAGGGAAUAAGAGGGAGAGAGCCCAGACUGAGUGGU
rnacentral:snoRNA from 1 species